GUGGGGAAUAUUGCGCAAUGGGCGAAAGCCUGACGCAGCAACGCCGUGUGAGGGAUGAAGGCUUUCGGGUCGUAAACCUCUGUCGGAAGGGAAGAACGGGUGGUGGUCUAAUAGGCCUCCAUUUUGACGGUACCUUUAGAGGAAGCACCGGCUAACUCCGUGCCAGCAGCCGCGGUAAUACGGAGGGUGCAAGCGUUAUUCGGAAUUACUGGGCGUAAAGCGCACGUAGGCGGCCUUGUAAGUCAGGGGUGAAAUCCCACGGCUCAACCGUGGAACUGCCUUUGAAACUGCAGGGCUUGAAUCCUGGAGAGGGUGGCGGAAUUCCUGGUGUAGGAGUGAAAUCCGUAGAUAUCAGGAGGAACACCGGUGGCGAAGGCGGCCACCUGGACAGGUAUUGACGCUGAGGUGCGAAAGUGUGGGGAGCAAACAGGAUUAGAAACCCUGGUAGUCC
rnacentral:rRNA from 1 species